UGUCUCAGAAAACAUUUGAAUUUUCUUCAUUCCUGUAGCUAUACAUCAAAAAAUUUUUUUCCGUUGUUGCUCAUAGCACUCAAUGUAUUCUUAUAAAUAAUUUGUUAUCACAGCUGCCCUGCUCUUAAAUCGCUUAUUUGCUGUAAAUUUUAUUUUACUGUUUUUAAUUUAUUAUACAUUUUAUUGUUCCAAAAACAUAUAGUAUAAAUUGAUGCUACAAAUGAUAGCAAACUAGUAGUGUACUAUUACUGCAUUAGUACUUAUUAAAUGAAGUGAUUUUUAUAACUAUCAUUUAUGCUGUGUUGUAAAAAAAGCUGUUAUACAUUAGUACAUUUAAUGGUAGAGGGCUUUGUUAUUAUGUGGUUUUACUGCGGGUAAUAUCCUACUUGCAUAAUUUAUCAGUUAAAUUGAAAUGCAGCUCGGCUCACCAGCAGCUGAGGGGUAAUUUCACUGAAUGCUGAUAGUUUAACUUGGGUUUAAAUCCCUGUGAACAAGCUGGGUGCAUGGGCAUUCUCAUCAUUUUCUCCAUAUGUAGCAAGGAUAUGAGCCAUUUUAACUUAGAAAGUCCUCCAUGAAGGCAUCCCUUCUUUUGAUAGACAUUCUUUUAUGUAAUCAAACAAACCAAAUAGAAAAUGCACAAAUGGUAUUUGCACAUUUUUAAAAUGAUUCUGAAGCCAUUUAAGUAAUGUUUGAAAUGUAAAGGGCAUUUUUUUUUUUUAAAUGUUUGAUCUUGUAGCCUUUUUCCUGGACUGUAAGUCUCCAUCAUGAUUUCCAUGAUAAAAGGGCUUUUGGUAAAAUUUUUAGGGGUAUUGAUUUCCAUUCCUCUUCUCCUAAUUUCCAGAAUACAUCAGUCGUUGUGUGUUUUCUAAUAGAAACAGCUGUUUUUAAAAGACCAAAGGCAAAAUAGUGGAUAUGUGAAAUGUUAGAGACUUUACAGGAAUACAUUGAAAGGCCAGUUUCCAUCUUUUCCUAUUUUAUCAUUAAGAAGAUUUUCUCUCUUUUCCAAUGUGAUCAUUAGGAAGAUUGCUCUUCAAGAAAAACUUGCUAGGUCACAAGGAAUAUCGUAAGCUCAGGUGUCACACUUUCAAUAAAAUAUCUGCUGUAUCAUCUCUUCUUAAGGUAGAUCUAUUUACCUAACUCAAGUUAAAAGUGAGCUUUUUGGAUUUUCUCUAUGCUGAUGGGAACUUGUCUACCAAAAACGUUUGCUAGCUGAGAAAAGGAAUAUUUUCCUUUCAUUUUUGCUUUUGGGGAUGGGGACAGAACACAUAAACUCAAUGAUGAUUUAGUAAAGUAAGCCACCUAAGUCAGGUUGAAACGGAAAUCUUCAGAUGUUCUGUUUGCUGCUAUGUUGCUACAAGAAUUAUUGAUCUUGAAGAACAUUUGUUAGUUCACAGGAAAGGUCAUCAGUUCAUUUGUAAUACAUGCAGCAAAACGUUUGCUACAUCACAUAAACUUAAGAGGCAUGCAAUAAUUCAUUCUGGAGAGCGGCCAUAUGUUUGUCAAAUGUGUAACAAAGGUUUUAAUCGAAAAGAAAGUUUGGUUAUUCAUUCAAGAGUUCAUUCUGGAGAACGGCCUUAUGCUUGCGGAACAUGUAAUAAAACUUUUAAGCAAAGAGCAGCUCUGUUUUCUCAUUUGAGAACUCAUUCCACAGAGCGGCCGUAUGUUUGUGAGGUGUGUAAAGGAAGUUUUCGUCAUAAACAAUCACUUACAGAGCAUUUCAAAAUUCAUAGUAAUGAAUAUUGGCAUCAAUGCACUAUUUGCAGAAAAAAGUAUAGAAGAAAAACUGAACUACGGAAACAUUUGUGUACAGGUUAUAUGGAUCAAUAAUUUUGUUCGUCAAAAAUGUCAUGUUUCGCGAUACAUUAUAAUGAUUAUGAAACAUCGCCAUUUAUUUUGUAAAUCAAAAAGAAAAUAUAUUAAAAAGUGUAACAUUGUC
rnacentral:lncRNA from 1 species